CUGCUGCCUUCCGUAGGAGUUUGACCGUGUCUCAGUUCCAAUGUGGGGGACCGUUCCUCUCAGAACCCCUGCGCAUCGUCGGCUUGGUGGGCCGUUGCCCCACCAACUACCUAAUGCGCCGCAUGCCCAUCCGUGACCGGGGUCGCCCCCUUUGACCGGCAGGGGAUGUCCCCCUCCCGGGCAUUAUGUUGUAUUAGGCGGGAUUUCUCCCGGUUAUCCAUCUGUCACGGCCAGGUUGCAUACGUGUUACUCACCCGUGCGCCGGUCGCCCGGG
rnacentral:rRNA from 1 species